GGUUGUGGCUCAGCGGCAGAGUGCUUCCCUGGCAUGUGUGAGGUCCUGGGUUCAAUCCCAGCACCA
rnacentral:tRNA from 1 species